CCCAUAAUCAAAAUAGGCCAACACAUAUGGUUAAAGCCAUAUCACAUACUCUAAUAUUUAAACUCCUAUACAUGCCAUAGGCUCAAAGUACUUGAAAUCACUACACCAAUAGCGUUAGCUUGACAGUGUGAUAAUAUCUCUGACGGCCUCCAACCCGAGCUAACCUGGAAACUCUAGAAAACAUGGGAAAGAAGAGGGGGGUAAGCUUUCUCUUAGUAAGUUCAUAUGAAAACAAUAAGCACCCAUUAACUUGUUUUAUCAAUGUUUACAACAUAUUCUCAAGUUCACUACAAGCUGUCUUUCUGAGCAACGGUCACUAAAUUAUUUAUAUCUGGAGCUACGAAACUCCGAAUUAAGUUC
rnacentral:lncRNA from 1 species